UGGGUGACCUGCCUCUAGGUGGGGGAUAACCCGGGGAAACUCGGGCUAAUACCGCAUAACAUCGUGAGAUCAAAGAGGGGCGCAAGCCUCUCGCCGAGAGAGGGGCCCGCGUCUGAUUAGCUAGUUGGUGAGGUAACGGCUCACCAAGGCGACGAUCAGUAGCCGGCCUGAGAGGGCGACCGGCCACACUGGGACUGAGACACGGCCCAGACUCCUACGGGAGGCAG
rnacentral:rRNA from 1 species